UUAAUGAAAAAAGAAAUUGUGUGGCUGUGUUCUUCAUUGAGCACUCACAUUGCACAAGAGUAUUAGGCACUAAAAAACAACAAUGAUUAUCAAUUAGAAUCUUAAAUGAAGAUCAAUACAAAUACUUUGGGACAAUGAUUAGCCACUGAAAAUAGACAGAAAAGACUCAAGGUAGGCUGAUAUGUUGACAAUAUUCUUUAGCCAACUUGGGUACCAAACAAUGUCAAGAAAACAUGAGAAAGUGGUAAUCUUUUUUAUGUAGAUAAGUACCCUAGCAUCUAUAGUACCUUCUUCACUCUUUUUCAGUGGUACCACACAUUUCACCUUUUCUAUACAUUCCCAUGCCACCAUCUAAAUCUUUAAUUUGCCUGUUCAAUAUAAUUCUUCAGAGUCCUGGGAAAAGCUCUCCAAGUCAUUAGUCAAUUUUUUUUUCCACCUAGUUCUUGCACUGAGGCUAGCCACACAUUAGCAAGAUUCAGAACAACGAUAAAACGACGAAGAGAUCGUUUUACGAUAUUUCAAUAGUGAUCAGAAUCGUGGAAGUAAUAUAAUCUCCUCUGCAUAUUGUAUCCCAAUAUCCAGCAACAGGCCACCUAGACAAACAAUUGAGUUGAUGAACUGAGGAUAUGAAAUUACAUAUAUACACUGCUAGAGAAACUAUGACUUGUUGCCUACUUGCUGAAUUCAUCCUUUUAGUGAAUGAAUAUAAGAGAAGAGGCCUUUAUGUAUAUGAAUAUGAUAAUCAAAGGGAGUGCGAAAGCAGCAGUAAUUCUUUCAUAUGCAGCUGGAUAUAUACUGAUGAACCGAAAAAGUUGGAAGAAACAAAGGAAUCAUAAAAGCAUAACUAGUGACCAGUAGCAAAACUUAGUAACUCGGAUGAGACUAAUAGUAACACUAAGUUUUGCUACUGUUCAAUGACUCUUUUCUGUGUAACUCGGAUCACUUUCAGCCGUAGACAUGGUGUUACACUUGUCAUCUCUACCCAUUUCCUUACCCAAAUUGCGGAGAGGAGAAAAUAAUUAAAAUAUUGAGGAAAAUUGCUAAGUGUAAUAGUUGUUUUUUUUGCGUACAUGAAGGAGAUUCAUCAACAAUGAAUAUAUUAUAUGAAAAAAUUUACAGUAUUGUAUGUUGUCCCACAAACAGUUUU